ACGGGGUGGGGGGGGGGGGUUCUCAUUCAAUUCCCUCACUCCUCCUGUGCCUUUUAACUAACUUUGAAAUUCCUCUGGCUGCUGGUGCCUCCGUGCUGUUUCCAAGGGCUGGAGCCCCACACUGAUUUAUUUGGUAACCAUCGCAGGAAUUUCAGAAAAUGAGAACUGGAGGAGGAAGCGAGGCCUGAAGUAAUUAAGAUGAUUUGUUACACGCGAUUCAGAUCCUUCAGAUGAGAGUGAAUAUUAAGCUUAGUAUUUACAACACACCCAGAAGAACAGUACCUUCCGAUAACCCAUUCUAAAAUGGAGAAGCUACUGGAUGGGGAAGGUUUCAAGAAGUCAUAAAGAGAGAAAGGAGAGACUUUCA